GGAUUUAGUUUAUUUCACAAUGCAGUGGAAAACAGUACUAAUCGUUUUGACUGCUGCACUGAUACCCGUGGCUGGAGGUUUUCUAGUUAGUUUAGAAACACGGGAUGCUAUCAAAACAUGGUACACUACCCUGUUGCUUCCAACAUGGCGUCCUCCAAACUGGUUGUUCGCUCCAGUUUGGACAUUUUUGUAUCUAUCCAUGGGUUAUGCGUCCUACCUAGUUUGGCGAGAUGGAAGCGGAUUCAAUGGACCGGCACGAUGGCCCCUCGUGUUAUACGUAGCACAGCUAUUGCUUAACUGGGCGUGGCCUCCAGUGUUCUUCAUAGCGCAUGAAUUAAAAUGGAGCGCCGUCCUGAUUACCGUCCUUACCGUUAUGGCAAUCGUCACUUGCGCAGCAUUCUUUAAAGUGAACCGAUUGGCGGGAUGGCUGUUAGUUCCCUACAUAGCAUGGCUGGCCUUUGCAGCUAGUUUAAACUGGAGGAUAUACAUCGACAAUUAAAGCUUAUAAAUGCA